rnacentral:lncRNA from 1 species
GGCUUUCCACAGCAAAAGUAUGGCAUCGACUGUGGCAUCUUCAUGUUGAUGUAUGCCCUUUACAAAGUCAUGGAUGCACCCUUUGACUUCACUGUUGUAAGUUCCCUUGCUUAUUCAAAGCUAUCUAAAAAGUUAUUUUAUAUUAUGGCUGAUAUAUAUUUUUUCUAUUUUAUUAGACUGAUAUGCCAUCGUUGAGAAAAUGGUGGUGUAUCAUGCUGAUUGAAAAUCUUGACCUUGGAAGCCAUGGCAAACCCUUUGCCCACUGGACUGACACAUCUAAGGCUCUUCUUCGGGGUGAGGUGCCACCAGUUUUUAAACUGAAGAAGAGAAGGCGAGAUGAAAUUCAUGAGGGGCCACUUGACAACAUUGUGGCUGGAGUUGCCUGGCUGCGUCAAAAUGCAGGUUUGCUCAGGGGGAAGGUGGUCGAGCCCGCAUUUCCGAAUAUGGACGCUAAAGAACAGCAGGAGCUCCUGGAAAGGAUACGUUCUUCAACUGAUGAAGAAGAAAAGUACCCCCUGCUCUUCACAUUUGAUUUUCAGGAAGAUAUGGAAGUCUUCCUAAACAUGGCAGCUGAGGAGGAUCUUCGGGUCAACGCCAUGUUUCUGGGUCGCUGGGUGGACAGCCAGUGA